CGCUAUCACUCCUACGGGGAGGCAGCAGUAGGGAAUCUUCCACAAUGGGCGCAAGCCUGAUGGAGCAACACCGCGUGAGUGAAGAAGGGUUUCGGCUCGUAAAGCUCUGUUGUUAAAGAAGAACACGUAUGAGAGUAACUGUUCAUACGUUGACGGUAUUUAACCAGAAAGUCACGGCUAAUUACGUGCCAGCAGCCGCGGUAAUACGUAGGUGGCAAGCGUUAUCCGGAUUUAUUGGGCGUAAAGAGAGUGCAGGCGGUUUUCUAAGUCUGAUGUGAAAGCCUUCGGCUUAACCGGAGAAGUGCAUCGGAAACUGGAUAACUUGAGUGCAGAAGAGGGUAGUGGAACUCCAUGUGUAGCGGUGGAAUGCGUAGAUAUAUGGAAGAACACCAGUGGCGAAGGCGGCUACCUGGUCUGCAACUGACGCUGAGACUCGAAAGCAUGGGUAGCGAACAGGAUUAGAUACCCUGGUAG
rnacentral:rRNA from 1 species